CUUCAAUCUACAAUCAUGAACAAGCUCCUCAUCGUUCUUCUUUUGGUCAGCUGCCUGUCACUGACAUUGCUGCCAGCUUCCGUUGAAGCCCAGGGUUAUCCUUCCUUUGGUGGCCGCCCUGGUGGCCGGUACUGCCAAUGCCGAUACCGUUGUUCCUGGGGUGAGUCCGACAGAGGUCGAUGCGGUGGCUGGAACAACAACCAACGAAACUGUUGCCGGAGAGGCCAUAGAGAUUAGAGGCCAUGGGAUUAGAGGCUUAUAAGGGCAUACAAGACAGAACGAAUUAUCCUUAUACACGAUUUGUGUUUUGUUUGUUGUGAAAAUAAAGUUUCGUUGAAAUAAGUAGUUUGCUAAUUUUGGCUCCAAAUAAGCAUUUCGUGG